rnacentral:lncRNA from 1 species
UUUUUUUUUUUUUUUUUUUUGGUCAAGCCAUCUUAACUAUGCUAUUCCCACUGUAGAAGUACAUCACCCCUGGUUGUCCCUGCCAGUCUUCACUUUGACUUGCUGAAGCCCCUAAAGUGGGAAAGAGGAGGUUUUUUUUCCCCCCCAUCUGGAAUAUUGCUGGAGUGGCUGGUUGUGUACACGUUUGGGGGCUCUGGAGGGGCGCACACCCGAAAUAUGGGCUUUCUGCUUAUUAUCUGGGGGGGGGGAUAAUAAACUCCUCUCUGUGUCAGAAAAGGAGCACAGAGAUAUACCUAGAAAAUGUUCAACUCUUCUAAGAAUGAAUAACAGAUAUGCUCAUACACAUGGAAGCCAAGGAUUGCUUAUUUCCUUUUUUUUUUUUCUUUUUUUUUUUUCUUGCUGACACGUUUACCUGAAAAGGAAAACCUUUAGGAUUCUACUCUGGAGGGAAAAAAAAUAUUUCCUCCAGUUUAGCUCGAGUGUCAUCCUUUGUGUAAUAGCACUUGCAUGGCUCUGUGUUUGCUUAUUGGAGAGACUCGGAGAGUUAAGUUGUGUGAAGACAGGGGAUAUGAUCAAGCAGAUGUCUUCAUUAUGUCAAAAGGAAGAGGGCAAAGUUUAUGCCAGAGGCCAGGUUUUCAAUGCAGAGCUCAGAAACUUAAAAGAAAUCCAACAAUUUACUGGAAAAUAGAAUUGCACAGGGAUUGUAUCUCCCUUUUGUUCUUUGGUAUGUUCUAAUUAAAAUGGUAUUGGGGGAAAAUAAAAGGCAUAUCUUUUCUACCUAUUUUGAUGGUUCAUGGCAUACUUUUGUAGCAGAGGAAGUAACCAAUUUCUUCAGAAAAACAUGAGAAGCAGCAGCACAUUUUUUAAGGAAAAUGGCAAUGGUUUAGUUCUACUGUACUUGUCUAAAAAUUAUCUUUUACUGCCAUUAUAAGUGACAGACUGGAUUCUCUAUAGGGACUUUGAGUCCCUUUACUAUCUGGCUUUUAAAUCAAUUUAUUGCAAUUACGUUUCUUAAUGCUAACUUUGCAAAGAUAAUGUAUAGAAACAAAAUCAUUUUCAACCAAGUUGCCUGCUAUCAGAAAACAUGCACCUUACCUCCUCCACCCACCACUUCCAUCAGCUUUGCAAGUAAAAACUCACUUUAAGGCACUCUUCAUUUUUUAAGAAAAAAAAGUCUGUCUUGCAAAAUACUGCUCUGAGAAACCUGACACAGAGAAAAUUUCUAGAAAGCGCAAGUACAGUUCCAGGACAUCAAAAGAUAAUUCCUUAUGGCAAAUGUAUCAAUAAGCUAGAACAACAAGUUCUGAAUAUCUAAUUAAAGCUAACUAAGUGAGUGUCCCACAUAGGGAUUUUAAAAAGAAAAUGUGACAAAUAUUCUGGAUAAAACCCUGUGUCUUCCUAAGGAAAUGAAACGUGUGGUCCCCCCUUCUGGCCCUUACUUGCUUUGCAGUCAUGAAUGCCAACUCACUAAGGCUGCAUCCUUUGAACUAUCGAAACUUUUUUUAGUUGGAAGGGACCUCUAGUGGGUCACUCCAUGCAUUUCUCCCUGUAGCUCCGUGGCAUCACGGAUUUUGUGAUCUAAGAUAAUACGUGUAUAACAGCUUUUUCUUCAUAGAUGAGUUAAUGUCCUCCAGGUACUGCCUUGACAUCUAUGCCAGGUUAAAAAAUCAUUAUUUUUGCUACCGUGUGUGUAGUUCCUCUAAUUUGAGGAACUCAGGAGUAUCCGCACAGUUUUCUGGUUAUCUAGGCUUUCGGUAACUUUUCUAUGAUUCCAAACGAAAGCUUUAGCCAAUUAAUGAAGAAUUCACCACCAUCAGUAUAAGAUUUUCCUCAUUCCUGCCUGGCCUUACCAAGACUGUUUUGCCUUCCUUCAAAUGUAUCCAAUAAUAAGAAUAAGCAUUAUAGUUAUGACGCAAAAAGUUCCAUGCAAAGAACCCCCACCACCACCAAAGAAAUAUUUGCUUAAAAAAAAUCAAUUAGCCUUUCUGAGAUCCAUAAACAUUCACUAGUGUAUUGAACUUAAAGACUUCUAAAUUAAAGGAAUCCCCCAUUCAAAUAAGAAUAUAUUAAAAGUCCAAAUCUUGUUUGGACGCAUGUAUCACCUUUAUUCCGUGAGGUGUUUUUAUUUCUCUCUUUGAUGCACCACAACACCUGUUCGGUAACCUACUGCUUAGAAAACUCUGCCUGGGACUUAAAGUAAGUUCUCUAGGGGUGAAUCAGCUUCUUCUGCUGACAGUCUGCAGGUUUCAACUUCCAAUUUAAAAAUCUGUUCUAAAGUUUGAAAUGUGUUCCAAAUGAGAUAACAUCCGGCAGAAGCCGGUUGCCUUGUGCUGCUUGCUUAGUCACUGCAGCCCAUUCUUUGGGGUUGAUCAGAAUUAGGGUCUCGCUUAUAAAAAUAACGAACAGUGACUCAGUCUGAAUGGCAUUUUUAAUAGUGUUUCAGCCUAGCUAGUGUCUACUGAGCUUACCUUAUUUGCUUCACAAAAAGGUGAAAAUGUAGAUAAUCAAACCUCCUCUGGUCUAAAAUUUUUUUUCUAAAUAAUAAUUCUAGAUACAAAGACCCAAGAACAUCAUGCUAAUAGGGACACUGCUGAAAGAAAAAUAGUAAAACUUGCGCGCGCACACACACACACACACACAUACACAGAGCGAGAGAGUGUACAAGCACCCAGUUGUGACACUGUUCCAAUAAUAGCAGUGAGGAAAUAUUUCAGAAAUGUAGGACUUGGGUUGGUUUUUUCCUCUUCAUUCCUCUAUUUCUCUUUUUGUUCUCCAAUGGGAUUUUUAUUUUACUUUGAAGACAGAUGAGGUUGAGGCACUUCCCUGGAUCUGAACAGUAAUAUUUUUGUUUGAGCUUUCCUCUUAUGAAGAUAACUGGCCUACAUUUUAAAAGUCCUAUUCCUAAGGAAUGCUCCCUUUUUGAAAGCAGUCAUAUGAGGAACUUCAGCUUGUCCCUAAUUAACUGUAGAGCCAAGUGUAUACAGUCCUUGUAACCGCAUCACUCGCAAAGUAGGAAGAUAAGAGGGGGAAAUUUGUACAAAUACCAUUCAAGAAGCUGGUACACCUUCAUUUACUACAAAAGGUAAAAAUGGACUAAAGCCAAAACGGUUGGGGCAGAGAGGACCAGAAACAGCCAGCAUCUAGUUGUACUGUCCUGGAAAUUUUUAACUCUUCCAACAAAUAAAACUCACUGAAGAAAGAAUGCUGAGCACAUGUGCAUACAUGUAAAUUAGAUGAAUAUGCAGAGGGUGCUGUGUCCCCCAUCCCCACAGAUUCCAGAUUAUAUUACCUUGUUUCAUCUGUUUAAUAUCUUCAUAUUAACACUGUUGGGUGCUUAUUUCCUCUAUUAAUCAGAUCACCUUGCUGAGAUUUAUAAGAGGAAGGGUUUAAUUAAAGCCAGAAUGUUACUAUUAAAUUUGAUGUGCAGUAUAAAUGGGCAGCAUGGGUCCCAAGCUUCACCUACCAUAUGCAUCUUGUGGAAGAGAGCAUCUCAUCAAGAUGAGGAGUAUAAAGGUAGCCACCACAGGGUACGAUUUGUCUUCAUAGAUCAUAUUGAAAGAGCACUGUGUUUUUCUCUUUCUAUAAUUUCCUAAAUUGGUAGAUCUGUCCAAAAGAUGUUUAGGAGACCUAAUAAGUUACAGGAAUAGAAGACAGCAAGAAAAAAAUAAAUUGAGGAGGUGUACGAGUAAAAUGAAAAGAGAGGAGGAGGUGAAUUUGUACAAAAAAAGGAAACAUAAGAAUAGAAAUAGAAUCAAAAUUGCUGAUUUCACACAGUGUGCAUUUUGCACUUUAUAAAUCCUGCUACUAUUAAACUCAACUUUAUAAGUGCAACAUCAUUAACAUGUUUAUAAACACUAUCCUUCUCUAUUACGGAAUGCAAAUUUGAAAAUUGUCCUUUAAAAAAUCACCAUCUAAAGGAAAUGAUCCUGCAUGAAUCAUAAAAUAACCAAAGAAGUACAUUUUUUAAAAAGUGAUCUGAAAUCUCAGGAGAAUCAAAGAAAGAGGUUCUCUUAGUGCUUUGAAGAAUACAGACUCUUUUCCUUCUAUUAUCUUUAUUGUCCUGCAAGCCAAAUAGAUAUACCGUGUGAUCUUUGGGCACCUGCAAACCAAAGUCUGUAAUACUGAUACACAUCAAAUAUAAGUCACCCAUUUGGAUUCUGUAUGUGGUACAUCAUGAAAGACUAGCAAGAGAGUCCGCCCCCACCCCAUAAUGCCUGUUAACAAGUAUGUCAUAUAUGUGUGUGUGUAUAUAUAUGUCUAUACAUACACACACACAUAUAAUAUGCAUAUACGAUAGCCAAGAUAAAAAAUUCUGACCAUUAGGCUCAGAAUUUUUAUACAUUCAAAAGAUAAUGGUGAUUAUAAAGUAAAUGACAAUAAACUUUUCAUGAGCUUUUCUGCAUGUUACACGCUGUUCUAAGUAUUUUAUAACAUUCUGUACAGUAACAAUUACACACUAAGUCCAAAGGAAAAUGCUAUACUUCUGUCCUUUGCAGUUAUCCCUUUUUUGGUUUGAAUUUCCAGGGAAUUCCUGCUUGAGCUAAGCAUUUAAUGAAUGUGCUAUUUACAAACACUUGUGAUCUCUUAGAAUUUAGUGUGACACUCUGAGACAUGCAUAGCAGAAGAGUACAUGGGAAUGAUCUAUUUUGACCAAAGCGAUGCAGAUUUUAAGGCUAAGGAAAAUGUUUGUAGGUUAUUCAGUUUUGAGAAACUACUUGCAAGUAUGCUUACAGUUUAUAAUUGUAGUAAAAAGUACUGUGUGAGCCAUUUGAGCACUUUUUGUAAGAGAAUAGAUGAUCUUCUCCGGCCUUCAGAAAUAGCCAGAUGUUGGAGGAGUAUUUGAGGAAGGUAGCUAAAAGUGACAACAACUCAUUUCAUUGGUGGGGCAUCCCACCUGCACAGUACCCUCUGAAGGUUUGAGUCCUUUCUCAGUGCAUUCGAUAUGCUCACUCUGUACAUAGCAUUUAGGACUGUGGGUAGAGCCGAGUAAGGUCAUAUGUGAUGUGUAAAAAUAAUUACUUUCUUCUUUUAUGAUCAUAAUUUUGUUAUUUCAUUACCAUCACAGUUUAAUAUCUGUUCUGAAUGAUUUCUUUACCCAGUGAAAUUUCACACCAAAAAAAGGGCGGGGGGGGGAAUGCCUAGGGAACACAGGUGGCUGGGUGCCCAGCUCUUGGUUUCAGCUCAGGUCAUGAUCUCAGGGUUGUGAGAUUAAGCCCCCUGUCUGAUUCCAUGCUCAAGUGUGAAGUCUGCUGGAGAUUCUCCCUCUCCCUCUGCCCCUUCUUCUAUGCUUUCUCUCACCAUCUUGCUCUCUAACAUAAAUAAAUAUAUCUUUUUAAAAAAAAGUUGAGGUAGAGACAGAAGACAUCCUAUUAACAAUAUAAUAAUAUCAUAUAUGGUUGACUUUGAUGAGCCAUUCUCUAUUCUUUCUAUUGCCAAUAUUCAGAAACUCACGCGGUUAAUCUAGCUUUCAUGAACAAUGUGAUAAUUACAAAUAAAAUCAGAGAAUGGGAGACAGACAGGAGCUCAGAAAUAACUUUACCCAACACCCAUCAUUUGCAUUUGAGAUACAUGAUGACCAGAGAAGUAAAUGAGUUAUCUCUAUCCCUCUCUUUUAUAACUUCUAGUUGCUCGGCAAUAUUGCUUUUUAAAAUCACCAUUUAAUUAUGGCAUUAAAAAUUAAAGAGGAACUUUAUAAUAUUAUUUUUUACAAAUAUGCUGUGAAGGAACAGACAUGGAAACUUACAGAGAAAAUGAGGAUUUAGACUUCUUUAGAAAUUUCGUGUCUUCGUACCAUUUUGUAAAGCUCCUGUUGUAAAGAAUUAAUUUUUUCCUUCAAAAUUUUGAUCGCUAUUGGGGCAGGGGGCACAUUAUAAAACUUGGGUUUGCAUUUUAUUUUUAAUGGUCUGAUGGUUGUUUUGAGUGAGCUCCAUCUAAGUCAGUGAUUCUGGGCAGCCCGGGGGGGGGGGGUUCAGCGGUUUAGCGCCGCCUUCAGCCCAGGGCGUGAUCCUGGAGACCCGGGAUCGAGACCUACAUCGAGCUCCCUGCAUGGAAACUGCUUCUCCCUCUGCCUGUCUCUGCCUCUGUGUGUGUGUGUGUGUGUGUGUGUGUGUGUGUGUGUGUGUCUCAUGAGUAAAUAAAUAAAAUCUUUAAAAAAAAAAAAAGU